rnacentral:tRNA from 1 species
CGGGUGUAGUUCAGCGGUAGAACACCAGCCUUCCAAGCUGGUUGUGUGGGUUCGACUCCCAUCACCC